rnacentral:lncRNA from 1 species
AUAACGAGAAAAGAGGAGAUUGGCACCUGAGAUCAAAAAUCGAGUGAAGAAGAUGGCAAAUGGAAAUGAGAGAGAAAAUGAAAGGUGGGAGACAUAAUAAGAGAGCAAGAGAAACAGAGAAAGAAAGAAAAUUAGAACUAGAGCGAGCAAAAGUGUGAUAAUUAAUAGGCCUUACCCGCUGAUUUUCCUGCUCCACCCUGGGGGUAUCCUCCGGCUCCACCCUGGGGAUAUCCUCCCUGUCCCAGAUUAGCACCUGAGAGAUAGAUAGAGAGAGAGAGAGAGAGAGAGAGAGAGAGAGAGAGAGAGAGAGAGAGAGAGAGAGAGAGAGAAGAGAGCAAGAGUGAGGAAGAGGGCAAAUGAGAGUGAAAGAGAUCAAAUAGAAUAGAAAGAGAGAGAGAGUGAGAAGAAAGAAAGAGAGAAAUAAAGAAAAAAACAUGGCGACAAAGUAAAAGGCUCAUCACCACCAGCUUUGCCUGGUUUCCCUGCUCCACCCUGGGGGUAUCCUCCUGCUCCACCCUGGGGGUAUCCUCCUGCUCCACCCUGGGGGUAUCCUCCUGCUCCACCCUGGGGGUAUCCUCCUGCUCCACCCUGGGGGUAUACUCCUGCUCCACCCUGGGGGUAUCCUCCUGCUCCACCCUGGGGGUAUCCACCUGCUCCACCCUGGGGGUAUCCACCGGCUCCACCCUGUGGGUAUCCACCUGCUCCACCCUGGGGAUAUCCUCCAGCUCCACCCUGGGGAUAUCCUCCAGCUCCACCCUGGGGAUAUCCUCCAGCUCCUCCCUGAGGGUAUCCUCCCUGUCCCAGACUGGCACCUGAGAUAGAGAGCAAGAGCGAGAAAGAGGUAAAAAUGCAUUAAGAUAGAAAAAAUAGAAGAGACAAAGAUAUUUAAAGAGAGACAGAAAUUGAAAGACAAAGAUAUAUAAAGAGAGACAGAAAUAGAAAGACAAAGAUAUAUAAAGAGAGACAGAAAUUGAAAGACAAACAUAUAUAAAGAGAGACAGAAAUAGAAAGACAAAUAUAUAUAAAGAGAGACAGAAAUAGAAAGACAAAGCUAUAUAAAGAGAGACAGAAAUAGAAAAGCUUUGCCUGCUCCAUUCUGGGGGUAUCCUCCUUGACCAAGACCUGUAACAUAGGUGAAUUCAUUACUCAAGCGAUCAUCUACUUUUAAAUGAAUUUCAAUUACAUCACCUAACAUGCAUUAGAAUGUACUGUGAAGAGGUAACAUGGAACCUGUGCCAGAUUUAGCAAUGUUUCCAAUGAUUUUCUUUAUGCCACAGAAUAGUGAGCCAUCCAUUGAAAGGAGAAAAGAUGUUGGUUAGGUUUCUGUCUGUCAGUGUCAGUUCCAUUACCUGCUCCAUAGCCGUUGUUUCCUGCCCCAGGAUAGCUGCCAGCUCCAGCACCGUAGCCUGUGGAAUAAGUCAACAAAGCUCAGCACAAAACCCUGUGAUUGACUUGAGACUGAGCGACACGAUCCCUAAACUCAUCGCAUUGUGAUUGACCCUGUUACCUGUGGAGGAAAACAUACAGCGAGCACCCAUCACAUAAUACUGCUAUUGGCUCCUAGCCUGCAGAGCACAACAUCCAUGCACAUUACAUAUCACUGUGAUUAGGCCGUAGCCUGUGACACACAACAUCCAUGCACAUUACAUAUCACUGUGAUUAGGCCGUAGCCUGUGACACACAACAUCCAUGCACAUUACAUAUCACUGUGAUUAGGCCGUAGCCUGUGACACACAACAUCCAUGCACAUUACAUAUCACUGUGAUUAGGCCGUAGCCUGUGACACACAACAUCCAUGCACAUUACAUAUCACUGUGAUUAGGCCGUAGCCUGUGACACACAACAUCCAUGCUUACCACAUAACUGUGACCAAACAGAAAGAUAUGUUUACACAAAUCCAAGCCACAGUGAAGAUAAGACAAACCAACAACUCAGGUCAAAUUUCAAGUCAACCAUCCCUAAAGCGAUUCAUCAAAAGCUUCCAGUGUGCUUCUAGAACACGAACAUAGAGCCAACAAGACCGGUGCAUCAUUCAUAGAGGGUAUUAUCAUAUACAGUGCCUUCGGAAAGUAUUUAGACCCCUUGACUUUUUCCACAUUUUGUUACGUUACAGACUUAUUCUAAAAUUGAUUAAUCGUUUUUUCCCCUUCUCAAUCUACACACAAUACCGCACAAUGACAAAGUAAAAACUGGUUUUUAGACAUUUUUGCAAAUUUAUAAAAAAUAAAAACGUAAAUAUCACAUUUACAUAAGUAUUCAGACCUUUUACUCAGUACUUUGUUAAAGCACCUUUGGCAGUGAUUACAGCCUUGCGUCUUCUUGGGUAUGAUGCUACAAGCUUGGCACACCUGUAUUUGGGGAGUUUCUCCCAUUAUUCCCUGCAGAUCUUCUCCAGCUCUGUCAGGUUGGAUGGGGAGCAUCGCUGCACAGAUAUUUUCAGGUCUCUCCAGAGAUGUUCGAUCGUGUCUGGGCUCUGGCUGGGCCGCUCAAGGACAUUCAGAGACUUGUCCGGAAGCCACUCCUGCGUUGUCUUGGCUGUGUGCUUAGGGCCGUUAUCCUGUUGGAAGGUGAACAUUUGCCCCAGUCUGAGGUCCUGAGCACUCUGGAGCAGGUUUUCAUCAAGGAUCUCUUUGACUUUGCUCCGUUCAUCUUUGCCUCGAUCCUGACUAGUCUCCCAGUCACUGCUGCUGAAAAACAUUCCUACAGCAUGAUGCUGCCACCACCAUAGGGAUGGUACAAGGUUUCCUCCAGACGUGAAGCUUGGCAUUCAGGCCAAAGAGUUCAAUCUUGGUUUCAUCAGACCAGAGAAUCUUGUUUCUCAUGGCCUGAGAAUCCUUUAGGUGCCUAUUGGCAAACUCAAGUGGGCUGUCAUGUACCUUUUACUGAGGCGUGGCUUCGGUCUGGCCACUCUACUAUAAAGGCCUGAUUGGUGGAGUUGUCCUUCUGGAAGGUUCUCCCAUCUCCACAGAGGAACUCUGGAGCUCUGCCAGAGUGAGCAUCAGGUUCUUGGUCACCUCCCUAACCAAGGCCCUUCUCCCCUGAUUGUUCAGUUUGGUAGAGCGGAAGAGUCAAGGUGGUUCCAAACUUCUUCCAUUUAAGAAUGAUGGAGGCCACUGUGUUCUUGAGGACCUUCAAUGCUGCAGACAUAUUUUGGUACCCUUCCCCAAGUCUGUGUCUAAAAACCUGUUCUCGGUUUGUCAUUAUUGAGGACUUUUUAUUUAUUUAAUCAAUUUUGGAAUAAGGCUGUAAAGUAACAAAAUGUGGAAAAAGACAAGGGGUCUGAAUACUUUCCGAAGGCAGUUUAGCCACUGACACAAAGUGAUUGCUACAAACGACAGUGAUUGGCACAUGCAGGUGGAUAUAACACACAGACAGCUAGAUUGUAUGGGGUUACCAGUUUUGGUUGCUUUAGCACCCUGUCCAUUGGGCUCUCCCACUCCUGGACCAUAUCCUAGAGACCACAACAAAUGUUACUCGACAGUGCUAUCUACACAAUAUUACAGCCACAAAGGAAAAUAGAAAAAAGGAACAGACAGAGGUUUACCAUUGCCUUUGGCUCCCUGAUCACUGGGAACUCCAGAACUGGGACCAUAUCCUGGAGACCACUAAAGAAGUUAACUCUGUAGCUUAUAAUAAUAGAAACAGCGUCCCUCUCUUAUAGAGCUUGCAACACAAGGGUUGUGGGUUCGAUUCCCGCUGGGGCCACCCAUUUAUAAAAUGCAUGCAUGCAUGACUGGAAGUCGCUUUGGUUAACAGUGUCUGCUAAAUGGCAUAUAUUAUUAUAUAUUAUCUGUCCGGCUCAAAGGACCAUGAAAAACAACUCCACCCAGAGAGUGGUUUAAAAUAAGAAACAUAUCACCCUGUCUCCUCAUACUGUGUCAUUGUCCUAACAGAGGACCCACUUUAAACAGUACCUCUCCCUGUGUCCAACCCUCACUGGGUGGUGCCCAGACACAGUGACGUUCCUGAGACUGAGAAAGAGGUUUACCAUUGCUUUUACCACCAUUGAGGACUCCAGCUCCUGGACCAUAUCCUCGAGACCACAACACGUGUUACAACCACUGAUUAUUCAAAACCAUUUGCAUUCCCACAACACACUGCUCUUUAUCCUAGUAAUUCAACACAUAGAUUCUUAGCCAUGCACAAAAAAAUAUCACAGAGACUAGCUGACUAGCAUUUGGGAGGAUAUCAGCAAAUUACAUGUCACCAAAAAUAUAUUUUUAAAGAUAGUUCUAAAUAUACAGCACCACUUCAAUACAGAAAGAGACAGAGACAGAUACAGACUGUGACACAGACAGGGUAUCAGAGGUUUACCAUUGCUUUCAGCACCGCUGGGUUGCUGAACUCCUGGGCCAUAUCCUAGAGACCACACUAGUGAUUACUUUACACUACUUGCUCAACACUGUUUACAAUUGACCAUUGGAAAGCUCUGUUACAUCCUUUCCAGAACAGUUACAGGCAUUAAAUAAGUCUGUCGGGUUAAAGCGAGACUUACUUCCAAUAUGGUCUUAACUUUUUUGGGAUAGGGGGCAGUAUUUUCAUGGCCGGAUAAAAAAAGUACCCGAUUUAAUCUGGUUACUACUCCUGCCCAGAAACUAGAAUAUGCAUAUAAUUAGUAGAUUUGGAUAGAAAACACUCUAAAGUUUCUAAAACUGUUUGAAUGGUGUCUGUGAGUAUAACAGAACUCGUAUGGCAGGCCAAAACCUGAGAAGAUUCCAUGCAGGAAGUGUCCUGUCUGACAAUUUGUUGUCUUCUGUUACAUCUCUAUCGAAAUUACAGCAUCUGUGCUGUAACAUGACACUUUCUAUGGCUUCCAUUGGCUCUCUAAAGCCGCCAGAAAGUGGAAUGGGGUGUCUGCUGUCUCUGGGCAAAGUAUAGGAGCAGAGUUUGUAAGUGGUCAGCCUGGGGACAGUGAGACUGGAGAUGCGUGGUCACGAGAACCAUGUUUUUCUUUCUCUCUUUGAAUGAAUACAACGUUGCCCGGUUGGAAUAUUAUCGCUAUUUUAAGAGAAAAAUAGCAUAAAAAUUGAUUUUAAACAGCGUUUUGACAUGCUUCUAAGUACGGUAAUGGAAUAUUUUGCAUUUUUUUGUCACGAAAUGCGCUCACGCGUUACCCUUCGGAUAGUGACCUGAACGCACGAACAAAACGGAGGUAUUUGGAUAUAACUAUGGAUUAUUUGGAACCAAAACAACAUUUGUUGUUGAAGUAGAAGUCCUGGGAGUGCAUUCUGACGAAGAACAGCAAAGGUAAUCCAAUUUUUCUAAUAGUAAUUCUGAGUUUAGGUGACCCCGAAGUUGGCGGAUGUCAAAAUAGCUAGCCGUGAUGGCCGAGCUAUGUACUCAGAAUAUUGCAAAAUGUGCUUUCGCCGAAAAGCUAUUUUAAAAUCGGACAUAGCGAUUGCAUAAAGGAGUUCUGUAUCUAUAAUUCUUAAAGUAAUUGUUAUGUAUUUUGUCAACGUUUAUCAUGAGUAAUUUAGUAAAUUCACCGGAAGUUUUCGGUGGGUAUGCUAGUUCUGAACAUCACAUGCUAAUGUAAAAAGCUGUUUUUUGAUAUAAAUAUGAACUUGAUUGAACAAAACAUGCAUGUAUUGUAUAACAUAAUGUCCUAGGAGUGUCAUCUGAUGAAGAUCAUCAAAGGUUAGCGCUGCUGUGGUUUGGGUUUAUGUGACAUAUAUGCUUGCUUGGAAAAUGGCUGUGUGAUUAUUUGUGUCUAUGUACUCUCCUAACAUAAUCUAAUGUUUUGCUUUCGCUGUAAAGCCUUUUUGAAAUCGGACAAUGUGGUUAGAUUAACGAGAGUCUUAUCUUUAAAAUGGUGUAAAAUAGUUGAUUGUUUGAGAAAAUUGAAUUGUGGUAUUUUAGUUGGUUUUGUAUUUCGCGCCGUGCGAUGCCAUUGGCUGUUGGCUAGCGGAACAUCUGUCCUCAACAGGUUAACUGUAAAGCUAACAAAGACAUAAUUGUUGCAGUGGCAGUGCCAUCCAGCAUGCAGAACAAUGUGCAGAUCACCACCGAUGAAGACUAGCCAGAGAAAGAGAAACAACCCAGUAGCAGAAAUCUACCAUUUUUAGCAACAAGCCCAGUAGACACUCCAGCUCCUGGACCAUAUCCCGGAGACCACAACAACUGAUACUGAACACUGGUUACUCAACAAGCCCAGUAGACACUCCAGCUCCUGGACCAUAUCCUGGAGACCACAACAACUGAUACUGAACACUGGUUACCCAACAAGCCCAGUAGACACUCCAGCUCCUGGACCAUAUCCUGGAGACCACAACAACUGAUACUGAACACUGGUUACUCAACAAGCCCAGUAAGACUUAUAGUCACAGGUUCUGUAGCUUAUCAUAUGAGAGUGAUAGAGAAAGAGAGAUUGAGAGACUGUAACACUCAGAUAGAGCUUUACCAUAGCUUUUACCACCGUUGAGGGCUCCAACUCCUGGACCAUAUCCUGGAGACCACAACAACUAUUACUUAACACUGGGUCAAAGCAAAUUAGCGGUGUAGAAUUUAUUAUCUAAAGUUUUGUAGGUUAUGAUAAUGAGUGCCAUCCAGUAAUUUAAACCCAGAGAUUUAAACUGGCAUUACCAUUGCUUUUAGCCCCACCAUUGGGAACUUCAGCUCCUGAAGACCACAAAAACAGCUGUUACUCAAUACAAGCAUGCUGUCCUUGACACAGACAGACGAGACGCACAAAGACUGACAGAGACAAACAGACAGGGUAGCAGAGGUUUACCAUUGCCUUUGGCUCCCUGACCACUGGGAACUCCAGCUCCUGGACCAUAUCCUGAAGACCACAACAACUGUUAUUGAACACUUGUUACUCAACACAAGUUAACACAAGUUAACACAAGUUAGCUCUGUAUAAUCAGAAGUUCUGUAGCAGCUUAUCAUGAGAGAGAUUACUGAGAAAUAGAGACUGAGAGACUAUAACUCUCAAGAAGAGGUUUACCAUUGCUUUUAGCACCAUUGGGAGCUCCAGCUCCUGGACCAUAUCCUAGAGACCACAACAAGUGUUAUUCAACACCGCUUAUAGAAAAUCAAAACCACUUGCAUAAACACAACACAUGUUGUCUUUGACACAGACAGACAAGACACACAAAGACUGACAGAGACAAACAGACAGGGUAGCAGAGGUUUACCAUUGCCUUUGGCUCCCUGAUCACUGGGAACUCCAGCUCCUGGACCAUAUCCUGAAGACCACAACAACUGUUACUUAACACUUGUUACUCAACACAAGUCAGCUGUGUAGAUCUGAUCAUCAGGGGUUCUGUAGCUUAUCAUAGGAGAGUGUCAGAUGGAUAGAGAUUCAGAGCCUGUAACACUCUGAAAGAGGUUUACCAUUGAUUUUACCACCAUUGGGAACUCCAGCUCCUGGACCAUAUCCUGGAACCAACAACAACUGUUACUCAACACUGCUUAUAGACAAUUGAUCAAAACCACUUGCAUAACACAUUCUGCCCUUGAUCCUAGUAUUUCAUCAUAUAGCUUAUAGCCGUGCACAAAUAUCUAGCAAACACCAGCUGGAUGUGUUCAGGAGCUUAUCACCAAUACUCCUCUAAAGAUAGAUUACCAUACAGCAUGCAACACAGACAGGAAAGGUAUCAAAGGUUUAGCAUUGCUUUUAGCCCCGUUAGGUGCUCCAGCUCCUGGACCAUAUCCUGGAACCACAACAACUCUUACUCAACACUAUUCUACAACAGACCAAACCAGCAUCCAUGGAUUGGUCAAAUUCUACAAUAUGCUCAAUGAACUGGCAACAGGCAUGCAAAAAUAUGUUACAAACAGUAACGUUAUCGCACAGCAUGCAGCAUCCUGCUCGACCUCAACUUUGACAUGGACGACAAACAUUGAAGACAGACGUAGACACAGACAGGGUAGCACAGGUUUACCAUUGGGUUUAGUACCCUGACCUUUGGGAACUCCAGCUCCUGGACCAUAUCCUGAAGACCAGAACGACUGUUACUCAACACUUGUUACUCAACACAAGUUUUCUCUGUAGAUCUUAUCAUCAGAGAUUCUGUACUUUAUUUAUAAUAAGAGAUGCUAUAGCAUUUCACUGUAAUAACAUGUUUAUUUGGCCUGAUGGAAUGGUUCAGAGUACUUAAAUGUCUGGCUCGAAGGACCAGGAAAAAGAGCGUCACCCAGUGAUUGGUGGACUCAGAGAAAGGAGCCAGUUUACCUCUAAAGUGACAGAGAAAUAGAGACUGAUGAAGACUCAGAAAGAGGUUUACCAUUUCUUUUACCACCGUUGGGUGCUCCAACUCCUGGGCCAUAUCCUGGAGACCACAACAGCUGUUACGCAACACUGUCAACACUGACUUAUUGUAAAUAAUCACUUGCAUGAGCACAAAACAUGCUGCCCUGGGACCUUUCCCCUCUGGCCAUGCACAAAUAUAUUCAUCCUUCUCAACGUUCAGGAGUCACAUCGCACCAACUUUUGUAGCACAUAUCAUGCAACAUACAGUCAAAGAAGCUCUACUUUGAUACAGAGAGACAGAGUGUGACACAGACAUGUUAUCAGUAGGUUUACCAUUGGCUUUGGCUCCCUGAUUUUUUGGAACUCCUGGACCAUAUCCUAAAAGCAACAGCUCUUAUUCAAAACUGUUCUAAAAAUGACCAGACCAUGCAUGCAUAAUAUGCUACAAACAUUGGCAUUACCACACAGCAUGCACCAUUCAGCUCAACCUCAAUUUUGAGAUAGAAAGACACACAUUGAAUAGGGCCGUAGACACAGACAAGGUAGCCAUGGUUUACCAUUGGGUUUAGCACCCUGACCAUUGGGAAUGCCAGCUCCUGGACCAUAUCCUGAAGACCACAACAACUGUUAUUCAAUACAAGUUAGCUCUGUAGCUCUUAUCAAUGACCAUUGAGUUCUGUCUGAAGUCAUGAAAGAUACAGCAAUAGAGAUAGAGACUCUGACAUUUAGUGAUGGUAACAGAGGUUUACUACAAGAUUUAGCACCACAGGGUUUAGCACCACUGGGUAUAGCACCACUGGGUUUAGCACCACUGGGUUUAGCACCACUGAGUUUAGCACCACUGGGUUUAGCACCACUGGGUUUAGCACCGCUGGGUGCUCCAGCUCCUGGACCAUAUCCUGGAACCAACAACAACUCUUACUCAACCCUGUUCUACAACAGACCAAACCAGCAUCAACAUUUAGUGUUAUCACACUGGCCUGGGUACUCUAUCUGUCAAAGGCUUCAAUAUGCUAAUUCUAACAAACAGUUGAGGUUACAGACAUGCAGCAAUGCAUCACAAAGACAGAGACAAACAGACACGGUAUCAGAGGUUUACCAUUGCCUUUGGCUCCCUGACCACUGGGAACUCCAGCUCCUGGACCAUAUCCUGGAGACCACAACAACUGUUAUUGAACACUUGUUACUCAAUUCAUCUUGGCUCUGUACUUAUUAUAAACAGAAGUGAUGUAUCUUAUCAUAAGAGAGCAACAAAGAAAGAGAGACGGAUAUAGACCUGCAACACUCAGAAAGAG